GCAGGUGCAUCUGUCCAUCCAGUCUCCAGCUUACAAACCGACUAUACAGAUAAUGGGCAGAAACCAAUAGUGGACUCCACAGAUAAUGGCUAUAAACCAAGUGAAGUUUCACAUUUGGACCCUACAGGUA